CUCAUUAAAUCAGUUAUAGUUUAUUUGAUGGUCUCUUUGUUCUUCUUUUUACCUACUUGGAUAACCGUGGUAAUUCUAGAGCUAAUACAUGCGCAAGGUCCCGAGCGCGAGGGACGGGGUCUCACGGCUUCGUCUCUGCAUGCGCAGAGGGAUGUAUUUAUUAGGUUAAAAACCAGCAGCGCCAGCAAUGGCGUUCACACAACUGGUGAUUCAUAGUAACUCUUUCGGAUCGCAUUCAUG
rnacentral:rRNA from 1 species